UGGCAAUAAAUCCAAAAAAGACCACUUGUAUGAUAAUAGGGUCAGAAAAUAAAUUAAAAUCAAAACCUUCUUUAGAUAUAAAUAUAGAAGGUACAUGCCUAAGUCAAACGAAAUCACAGAAAUUAUUAGCACGUCUGUAAUAAAUUACAAAAACAAAUUGCUCUCUUAAAGCGUAUAUCGUACUUUUUAUCCGCUGAAAUGAAAGAAAUGUUUUACAAUGCUUAUAUUUUACCUUGUUUUGAUUAUUGUUGUAUUAUAUGGAGUACUUGUAAUAAAACUGAAUUUGAAAAAGUGAAUAAACUGCAGAAACGCGCAGCAAAGAUAAUAUUGUGUAAACCAGUUAAAACGCCUUCUUUACAGCUUUUCCUUAAAUUAAACUGGUUAACUUUCGAAAAUAGAUGCACGUAUCAUACAGCAUUAUUAGUAUUUAAAUCUAUACAAGGAUUGACUCCUUCCUACAUUUCAGAUAUCAUAGUGUUUUCGAAAAAUCAAACGUAUACACUUAGAUCAACUACAAAUAGAAACAUAAUACAUGUAAGAUCUAAUACGAAAUAUGUUAAAAGAACUUUUAGAAAUAAUGCAAUGCAAGUAUGGAAUAAUUUACCUUUAUAUAUUAAAGAGUCUUCGUCUCUAUAUGCUUUUAAAAGAAAUAUGAAAAAAUAUUUGAUUGAUAUACAAUUUAAAUGAAUCUGAUGUAUGCAUGUGUCUGUCAAUUUGAAUGGUUGUUGUUUAUGUUGUUUUUAAUAUGUGUGUACAUAUUUGUGACUUUCAUUAUCUUGUUUAAUUGAAGGCCAUAUUGUAAAUAAGAUUUGUAUUUCUUAAUAUGUUACCUUCAUGAAAUAAAGUGUUUAUUAUUAUUA